rnacentral:rRNA from 1 species
AUGAACGCUGGCGGCGUGCCUAAUACAUGCCCGUCGAGCGCACGGACGAGAAGCUUGCUUCUCUGAUGUUAGCGGCGGACGGGUGAGUAACACGUGGAUAACCUACCUAUAAGACUGGGAUAACUUCGGGAAACCGGAGCUAAUACCGGAUGAUAUUUUGAACCGCAUGGUUCAAAAGUGAAAGACGGUCUUGCUGUCACUUAUAGAUGGAUCCGCGCUGCAUUAGCUAGUUGGUAAGGUAACGGCUUACCAAGGCAACGAUGCAUAGCCGACCUGAGAGGGUGAUCGGCCACACUGGAACUGAGACACGGUCCAGACUCCUACGGGAGGCAGCAGUAGGGAAUCUUCCGCAAUGGGCGAAAGCCUGACGGAGCAACGCCGCGUGAGUGAUGAAGGUCUUCGGAUCGUAAAACUCUGUUAUUAGGGAAGAACAUAUGUGUAAGUAACUGUGCACAUCUUGACGGUACCUAAUCAGAAAGCCACGGCUAACUACGUG